rnacentral:misc_RNA from 1 species
GAUAAUCCACGCAUACUCAACCUUCUCUAGAUAUACAGCAUGUGUACUGCCGUUGCAAGUAUACCUUUAAAAGAACAAGUAUGCCACUAUGGCUAGUAAUAGCCCACACACAUCAGGUCAAAGUGCAGCCAAUAAGAAGGUGAUGAUGGGUUACAACCCGAAAACAGAAUAUCAACUAAGAAAUUAAAAAUCUUACGAAAGUGGACUUGGCUGUAAUUAAUUUAUAAGUUAAAGAAAUGAACAAAAAUCUAAGACAUGCACACAUCGCCCGUCACUCUAUCCUAAAGGAUAGAUAAGUCGUAACAAAGUAGGUGUAAUGGAAAUUGCACCUGUCGAAGUAUAGCAUAUAUAAUGCUUUUUACUUACACUAAAAAUAAAGUUAAAUAACUUGCUUCGCACAUAUAAAUAAGCCCUUAAAUAAAAACAAUAAAAACAGUUAAAUAAUUAACAACACAAAGUACAGAAAUGGAAAAAUAAUAAAUAAAAGUAAAUCUUAAUAAAUGUACCUGUGCAUUAUGGUUUUACAAGAAACCAAUCAAAAUAUAAUCAUUCUCUGUGAGAUGUAAACUGCGGUAUGAACCUUAAAGCUGUAUAAAAAAGCUCAAAAGACAUUUUAUCACAGGCUAUUUUUUUCUUUUUCAUAAAAAUAUCUGGUUUU